rnacentral:rRNA from 1 species
AUUGAACGCUGGCGGCAGGCCUAACACAUGCAAGUCGAGCGAGCGGCGGACGGGUGAGUAAUGUAUGGGGACUGCCCGAUCGAGGGGGAUAACUACUGGAAACGGUGGCUAAUACCGCAUACUAUCGGAUAACCCAUAUGGGAUUAGCUAGUAGGUGGGGUAAAGGCUCACCUAGGCGACGAUCUCUAGCUGGUCUGAGAGGAUGAUCAGCCACACGGGGAUGGAGACACGGCCCAGAAUCUUACGGAGGCAGCAGUGGGGAAUAUUGCAAAAUGGGCGAAAGCCGGAUGAAGCAAUGCCGCGUGUAUGAAGAAGGCCUUAGGGUUGUAAAGUACGUUAAGCGGGGAGGCGUUACCCGAAGAAGAAGCACCGGCUAACUCCGUGCCAGCAGCCGCGGUAAUUC